CUGGGAUUACAGGCGUAAGCCACCGCGCCUAGCCAUGAUUCUGUUAUUUCUAAGGGCAGGGGAAAUCGUAAACAUUUUGAUAAUCAAUUUUAAUACAAGGAUAGAGGCUAUAAAAUCUAGGCAGAAAAGCAUCCCUCUCUUACGGAAGGUCUUUCAUAUGGUCUGUAUAUCAAGAAUCCCCACAGAUACCCUGCAAAGUCGAUCCUAUUCUUCCAUUUUACAGAUGAGGGAAGCCUGAGCCUCAAAGAGGUGAGGUAACUUCCCAGGGUCGCACAGCUGGGAAGUCGCAGAGCAGGCGCAGACCACCUGAUUGCUCUUGCCCCACCCCCCACCCCCACGUGCUUUUGAGUCCACACUGCAGCCGCCUCUGCUCCACCACCUUCUGUCACCCACAGCGCCCCCACGCUGGGUCCGCGGGCCCCCACGUCCAGACCGCAGGAAGGGACACUGGGAGGGCGGGAACCUGCGCACCCGCUGAAAAGACACAGCCUGGGAAACCGCACCCCAGAGGCAGCCUCCGCGGCCAGCCCAGGGGCAGAGGGGCUCCGGGUCUCAGCGUCUGCGGGUGGCAGGUGGCGUCAGGUCUGCACGACGGAUGCUGGGAGGCCUGCAGACGCCCCGAGGAGCCACGGCUUCCUGAGCACACUCGAGAGGCCCGCGCCCCGGGCAAACUGCAUGGACUGUGCUCUGCAGGCGCCGCGGCCUUUCCCCGUUCGCUCUCGAGGCCCCUGCGGCCCCCGUCCUACCCUGCCCCAGCUCCUCCAGCAAAGGUCCCCGAACCCGAGGCUUCUGUGCCGCCUUGACAAUGGCAGCCCCCUCCUCUGCCACCGCGGGGAAGUCCCGGAACUCCUAGACUUUGUUCUCUUCUUUUCCCGCCGGGGCUGCUAGGGAAGCACUCUUAGGGCCGGCCUCCAGCCUUGGGUUCCCGCCCGGGCCUCGCCGCGCGCCUUCCGCUCUCCACGGGGCCUGCAGCCCGGGACCUGCUGCCCGCCACCCGCUACCCAGGGCUUCCUGCCGGCCGCCAGCGCCACCUGACCCUCCGACGAGAGCCCAGCACUGCCCAACCCAGGCCUUCUGUAGGGUCCCCUCCUCUCCACGUAUGGCCCCAUUAUCCCCACGUGGUCCCCCUCCUCCCCAUGGCUGCCCCAUGCCCAUGUAGGGUCCCCGUUUUCCUUGCGUGGGUUCUUCGUCCUCCCCAUGUGGGGUCCCGGCCCUCUCCAGGCUUCUGGAAGGCCGGUGAGCUGGAGACAAGCAUGGUCAGGGAGCCCCGGGAAGGCUGAGCAACGGCAGGAAAGGGACGGGCUCAGCGCAUUUCUGGGAAGUAAAGUGGCGGGAUCCCGAGGCAGCAGGAGUCCUGGCACCCAGGACCACAGUUUGAGAGGCCUGGCGCAAAAUGAAAAUGCAGGGCUCCUGCUCAGCAGUAACUCAGACGUCAAGAUGGCGACAGCAGAGCUUCCACCCAAGCCCGGAGCCCCGCCAGGUGCAGGCCGCACACCCGCGAACCCGCCCUGCUGCAUCUGCGAGUGGGGCGCCCAGGGAGGCGAGGGGCUCUGGGGGCUGCCUGGAGAGGCCUGACCCCUUCCUUUCCCGGAGGCCGCUCCCGAGCUAUGCCAAACCCGGGCUGCCGCGGCGCUGCCACCUGCUGGCCACCUCGGGCCCCUGCCGCGUCCCUCGGAGAGAAGGACCUUGUGUGGAGUGGGCAAGCGGCUUGGUGGCCCGGACCUCACCUUCACAGAAGAGAAGCUAGCCGGGGAGGGAGUUCACAUCGGCUACAGCACCCCAGUGACGGUGGCAGCACGUUACUGUCGCUCUUGAACUGUCCUGUGCCUUACAUCAGUAAGGUAGAGAUGAUGACCCCCCACUACAGCAAGAGACAUUCUGCCACCAUGAUGAAAGCUGGCCUGAGAUGACGCUGACACAGAAGUGGAAAGAAAGACAGGAAGAUGGCUGCAGGGUGACACCUGUGAGCUGCUGGAUCAAGCCGGGCCUGCAGGGCUGAACUUUGCAGUGAAUCCCCUGGACUGUUUAAGUCAUGCUGACCAGCCACUUGUGAUGAAAGGUGUCAUAACUGACACUCUGCCCAAAGCCUCCCAAGUUAGACCCAGGACCGAAGACUUCAGAGGCCACAGUUUAUCCCACGGAUAAUGUGCUGCUUGGAAGAUUAAUUACUGUCUGAGAAGAACAGCAGGGGAACAGGUGGAGAAUAGGGCAGGGACUUGCCUUGGGUUCAGAUGCAGCUCCAUACAGAACAGUGACACGGGCAGUUUGUCUUCACCCCUCCCCUACACUGGGGUCCUUUGCCCACUUGCACCUACCUCCCCUAGCUCCAACCUUUCCCCUGCCUCUGUGUCAUCCUCUCUCCACCUGAGGGAGGGAACGAGCUGUGUGUUCGUGGCAGCUUCUUCGUGAGACCAGCAGCUCUAAGCUGGGCGUUGAAGAGGUUGGUGAGUGAGCAGGGCGCGGUGGCUCACGCCUGUAAUCCCAACACUUUGGGAGGCUGAGGUGGGCGGAUCACUUGAGCUCAGGAGCUCACGAGCAGCCUGGCCAACAUGGUGAAACUGUCUCUACUAAAAAUACAAAAAUUAGCCAGGUGUGGUGGCAGGCACCUAUAACCCCAGCUACUUGGGAGUCUGAGGCAGAAGAAUCACUUGAGCCCAGGAGGUGGAGGUUGCAGUGAGCUAAGAUUCUGCCACUGCACUCCAGCCUGGGUGACAGAGGGAGACUCCGUCCCCUCCCCCCACCCAUAAAAAAGGCUGGUGAGUGAAACUUGGGCCCCUGCAGGAAAAGCACUGUGGUCCCAGCUGGCUGAUGGGUACAGGGACACAGCCCAACCAUCAGAUGCUGAGCCCCCUGCCCACUUGGAACCCAGCCCAAGAGCUUUUCUUCAGCCCUGGACCCCUGGCGCUGGUGAGCUCUGGUUUCUUCCUGACCUCCACUGGCCACCGGGCUGGAGAUCCCCUGUGGGAUCCCACCCCAGCCCUGGGGAGGGGCCAGAGGGAAGCUGGAGGCAGAGUGGGCAGCUGCUGAACUCUGAGCUGCCAGAGGUAGUGAACAGGGUUGUCAGACUGUUUCAACUCAAAUUCCAACACAGACACAAAAAACCAACAACAAUUAUAAUCCCCAAUAAAUAAAUUUAACAUUU